AACAAGUGCAGUUUUGCACGGUUAUGUCCAACGUUUGACUGUCCGCUUUAAUUGAAUUUUUUUAUGAUUAUUUUUUUUGUUGUUAUUAGAUGAUAAAACAUGAAUAAUACUUAUGUAACUAAUUUUUUUAAAAAAAAUUUAUAAAAUUUUUAAAUAAGACGGAUGGUUAAACGUUGAAUAUGAAAACCCACGAUCGCACUUCGC
rfam:Oryza glumipatula chromosome 1, whole genome shotgun sequence.